AUUGAACGCUGGCGGCAGGCCUAACACAUGCAAGUCGAGCGGUAGAGAGAAGCUUGCUUCUCUUGAGAGCGGCGGACGGGUGAGUAAAGCCUAGGAAUCUGCCUGGUAGUGGGGGAUAACGUUCGGAAACGGACGCUAAUACCGCAUACGUCCUACGGGAGAAAGCAGGGGAUCUUCGGGCCUUGCGCUAUCAGAUGAGCCUAGGUCGGAUUAGCUAGUUGGUGAGGUAAUGGCUCACCAAGGCGACGAUCCGUAACUGGUCUGAGAGGAUGAUCAGUCACACUGGAACUGAGACACGGUCUAGACUCCUACGGGAGGCAGCAGUGGGGAAUAUUGGACAAUGGGCGAAAGCCUGAUCCAGCCAUGCCGCGUGUGUGAAGAAGGCCUUCGGAUUGUAAAGCACUUUAAGUUGGGAGGAAGGGCAUUAACCUAAUACGUUAGUGUUUUGACGUCACCGACAGAAUAAGCACCGGCUAACUCUGUGCCAGCCGCCGCGGUAA
rnacentral:rRNA from 1 species